AUGUUUCAUCAUACAUACUCAUGCAGUUUUGAGAUGGGAUCAAGGUAUUUCUGGUUUCUCAAGUUCUCUACAAGCUAUGGAAUUUGGUUGUAUUGCCAAUCAGCCCAAUAUGGAUCUCAUCUCCUCAUUAUUUUGAUCAUUCGGGUUACUAAGGCUUCUCAAAGUCUCAUGACAUCUCAUUUGAUUCUUUGUUCCAUAAAAGAACUAAAUUUACAAGUGUUGAUUCUUGAAUCACUAUUUUGUUAUGUAUCUCUUGAGAUUAGGGUUUAUUUCCUUAUAUUCCUCAUAAGAUUAGGGCAUCAUAUGAAAUUCACUUGCACAAGAGGAUUUCGUCAAGACGAAAGGGCAUGGAGAUUUAUCUUAAUAGUUCACUAA